CCUACGGGAGGCAGCAGUGGGGAAUAUUGGACAAUGGGGGGAACCCUGAUCCAGCCAUGCCGCGUGUGUGAAGAAGGCCCUCGGGUUGUAAAGCACUUUCAGUGAGGAAGAACGCCUGGUGGUUAAUACCCAUCAGGAAAGACAUCACUCACAGAAGAAGCACCGGCUAACUCCGUGUCAGCAGCCGCGGUAAUACGGAGGGUGCGAGCGUUAAUCGGAAUUACUGGGCGUAAAGCGCGCGUAGGUGGCUUGAUAAGCCGGUUGUGAAAGCCCCGGGCUCAACCUGGGAACGGCAUCCGGAACUGUCAAGCUAGAGUGCAGGAGAGGAAGGUAGAAUUCCCGGUGUAGCGGUGAAAUGCGUAGAGAUCGGGAGGAAUACCAGUGGCGAAGGCGGCCUUCUGGACUGACACUGACACUGAGGUGCGAAAGCGUGGGUAGCAAACAGGAUUAGAUACCCCUGUAGUC
rnacentral:rRNA from 1 species